UACGUAGGUGGCAAGCGUUGUCCGGAUUUACUGGGCGUAAAGAGCGCGCAGGCGGUCGUUCAAGUCGCGUGUGAAAGCCCCCGGCUCAACUGGGGAGGGUCACGCGAUACUGAUCGACUCGAAGGCAGGAGAGGGUAGUGGAAUUCCCGGUGUAGUGGUGAAAUGCGUAGAUAUCGGGAGGAACACCAGUGGCGAAGGCGGCUAUCUGGACGGUUUCUGACACUAAGACGCGAAAGCGUGGGGAGCAAACAGG
rnacentral:rRNA from 1 species